rnacentral:rRNA from 1 species
UACGUAGGGUGCGAGCGUUGUCCGGAAUUAUUGGGCGUAAAGAGCUCGUAGGCGGUGUGUCACGUCGGCCGUGAAAACCUGCAGCUUAACUGUGGGCGUGCGGUCGAUACGGGCAUCACUGGAGUUCGGCAGGGGAGACUGGAAUUCCUGGUGUAGCGGUGAAAUGCGCAGAUAUCAGGAGGAACACCGGUGGCGAAGGCGGGUCUCUGGGCCGAUACUGACGCUGAGGCGCGAAAGCUAGGGGAGCGAACAGG